GUGUCAGCAGCCGCGGUAAUACGUAGGGGGCAAGCGUUGUCCGGAAUUAUUGGGCGUAAAGGGUGCGUAGGCGGCCUUUUAAGUCAGAUGUGAAAGCCCACGGCUUAACCGUGGGAUUGCAUUUGAAACUGGAGGGCUUGAGUAUCGGAGAGGGUAGUGGAAUUCCCAGUGUAGCGGUGAAAUGCGUAGAUAUUGGGAGGAACACCAGUGGCGAAGGCGACUACCUGGACGAAAACUGACGCUGAUGCACGAAAGCUAGGGGAGCAAACAGGAUUAGAUACCCUGGUAGUCCUAGCCGUAAACGAUGGGUACUAGGUGUAGGGGGUUUCGAUACCCUCUGUGCCGGAGUUAACGCAUUAAGUACCCCGCCUGGGGAGUACGUGCGCAAGCAUGAA
rnacentral:rRNA from 1 species